rnacentral:rRNA from 1 species
ACGGAGGGUGCAAGCGUUAUCCGGAUUCACUGGGUUUAAAGGGUGCGUAGGCGGGUAGGUAAGUCAGCGGUGAAAUCCCCGAGCUUAACUUGGGAACUGCCGUUGAUACUAUUUAUCUUGAAUGUUGUGGAGGUUAGCGGAAUAUGUCAUGUAGCGGUGAAAUGCUUAGAUAUGACAUAGAACACCCAUUGCGAAGGCAGCUAACUACGCAAAUAUUGACGCUGAGGCACGAAAGCGUGGGGAUCAAACAGGAUUAGAUACCCUGGUAGUCCACGCCCUAAACGAUGAUUACUCGACAUUGGCGAUACACAGUCAGUGUCUGAGCGAAAGCAUUAAGUAAUCCACCUGGGAAGUACGAUCGCAAGAUUG